rnacentral:lncRNA from 1 species
GAACCAUAGCAGGCCCCACUUGUCGUAACGAUAAGCCGUGCUUGAGUUGUCACAAUUAACUAUUAAACCCAUCGCGAGAACAAACUUUCGGCGCGACAUUUCUAAGCAUUUACAUCAACCAAACAACCUCACUCGUCUGAACGAUAACCCGUGCUCGAAUUGUCACUAUCCGCUAUGAACGCAUCACAACAAACUUUCGGCGUCCCUCGCUAUAAGAGCAACGACCUUCACACACCAGCCAAACAACCCCACUUGUCUGAAUGACAACCCGUGCUCAAGUUGUCACUAUCAGCUAUGAACACAUCACGACAACAGACUUUCGGCACCCCACGCUAUAAGAGUAACGACCUUCACACACCAGCAAAACAACCCCACUCGUCUGAACGACAACCCAUGCUCGAGUUGUCAGUAUCAACUAUGAACGCAUCACGACAAUAGACUUUCGGCGCCCCUCGCUAUAAGAGCAACGAUCUUCACAUACCAGCAAAAUAAUCUCACUCAUCUAAACGAUAACCUGUGCUCAAGUUGUC